AUGAACGCUGGCGGCGUGCCUAACACAUGCAAGUCGAGCGAGAAAGUCCCCUUCGGGGGGCGAGUAAAGCGGCGCACGGGUGAGUAACGCGUGGGUAACCUGCCCUUGAGUGGGGAUAACCAGCCGAAAGGCUGACUAAUCCCGCAUACGACCGGCAGACACAAGUCUGUCGGGGAAAGAUGGCCUCUGCUUGCAAGCUAUCGCUCUUGGAUGGGCCCGCGUUGGAUUAGCUAGUUGGUGGGGUAACGGCCUACCAAGGCUGCGAUCCAUAGCUGGUUUGAGAGGACGACCAGCCACACUGGAACUGAGACACGGUCCAGACUCCUACGGGAGGCAGCAGUGAGGAAUAUUGCGCAAUGGGGGAAACCCUGACGCAGCGACGCCGUGUGAGCGAUGAAGGCCUUCGGGUCGUAAAGCUCUGUCAGAGGGAAAGAAAGGGUCGGCGGAAUAAUACCCGCCGACAUUGACGGUACCCUCGGAGGAAGCACCGGCUAACUCCGUG
rnacentral:rRNA from 1 species